AUAGUAAUUUAAAAAGCAUUUAAUAGUAUCUUGGUAAUUUUUUAAAGGGCAUUAAAUUGAAAAUUAUAUGUAAGUUAUACUUGAAAUAUAUAAAUUUCCUAAAAAUUUGAGAAAACUCUAAAAUUUUUAAAGUGAAGUGAACCAUCUCAGUAACUAAGAUUUUAAUCAACCGAGUAAAAAGGAAAGUAAUGGCGAAUGAACUCUUUUAACAUUAAACAAAUAAAUAGUUAUUAACUAAAAGUAAUAUGAAAUUUUGUAUGAAUAAUGGAGUACCACCUUCUAAAGUAAAUUAAAAAUUUAACCGAUAGUGAACAAGUACUGUGAAGGAAAGAUAUGUAUUUUGAAUAAAAAUAAAAAAAUUGAAUGCUCUUACUUUUUGAAGUUAAAACAACAAAUUUCUUUUUGCAUAACGAACCAGUAAGUUAAUAAAUAAAGUAAGUUUUCUAAGUAAAAGUUUUAUUUAUUAAACCUGAAACCAAGUGAUCUACUUAUAAGCAAGUUGAUGUUUUUAUAAAAAAUUUCUGAAGACUAAAUUCGUAAAUGUGGCAAAAUUUUGAAGAGACUUAUAAGUUGGAGUGAAAGGCUAAUCAAACUUGGUUAUAGCCGGUUUUUCACGAAAUGUAUUUUAGUACUACGCUAUUUAAUUAAUAAGUUAGGUAAAGUACUUAAUAAAUAAAGGGAAGUAAUAUUUUACUGAAUUUAUUUUAACUUAGAAUUAACUUAUUAAUUUUUAGCAGUCAGUUUUUAGGCGAAAAGGUUUAAAAACAAAAGGACAACAAUCCAGAUCAAAUAUUAAGGUUUUUAAUUAAUUUUUAGAGACAAAUUUUUUUGAAAGUCAAAUAGUGUAAUAGGCUUAGAAGCAGCCUUUUUUUAGAAAGUGCGUUAUAGCUUACUAUUAAUAUUUUAAAAAAAUAAAAUUUAAGGAAACUAAAAAAUUAAACCGAAAUUUUGAAUUAAAUUUAAUGGUAGUGAAACAUUUUAUAAUAACGUUUAAACAAUUGCAAAAUUAAUUAAAUAAAAGAGCUAAUGCUGGUAUGAGUAACGAAAACUUUGUUUAAAAUCAAAGUCGUUUUAGUUAAGGUUUUUAAUGUAAUUUCAACUACAUUAAGUUAGUCGGUCUUUAAAAGAUAAGAAAAUUCUAAACUUGAUAAGUAAAUUUAGUACUAUUUAUAUGUAUUAAUAAUAUGAAAAAAGUUUAACAGCUUUCAGGAAAAAAUUAUAAUAUAAAACCGUACUUAAACCGACACAGGUAUGAAAGACGAAUGAAUAAAUUAUAGUAAAGGAACUAGGCAACUUAUUUCUGUACGUUCGCAAAAAAGAAAAUCAUUUUGAUACAAAAAAGAAAAGCAACGACUGUUUACCAAAAACACAGAACUCUGCAAAUUUUUUAAGAAGUAUAGAGUUUGAAACCUGCCCAGUGCUUAAAAAUGAAAAAAUUAAAAUAUUUGUUUUAAUUAUAAGUUUAAGUAAACGGCGGUUCUAACUAUAAGAAUCCUUAGGUAGCGAAAUUCCUUGGCGGGUAAAUUCCGUCCUGCAUGAAUGGUUUAACGAUUGCUUUACUGUCUCUACUAUAACUUCAGUGAAAUUACAAUAUCCAUGAAAAUGUGGAUUACUUACAAUAAGACGGAAAGACCCUAGAUCCUUUACUUUUAUUUUACAUUGUACUAAAACCUAAAAUAAAAUAGAAAAAAUGGGAGUAAUUACAUUCAAUGAAAUACCAUUUAUUUUUAUGUUUUUUACUUAAUAAAGUUUUAAUUUACUUUAUGAUAGUGUAAAAAAGAAAGUUUACUUGGGAUGAGUACCUCCUAAAAAGUAACGGAGGUGUACUAAGGUAAAAAUAUAGUGUAAUAGCAAUUUUACUUAACAAUAAGAUUUAUAAAUCAAAUUGAGAUUUUGUCAGUUAUAGUGAUCCAAUAUAAUGUGUGGAAGUUAUAUUGCGCAACAGGUAAAAGGAACUCUAGGGAUAACAGAUUCAUCGUGAUUGAAAGUUCGUAUUGAAGUCACGGUUUGAGACCUCGAUGUCGACUCAUCUUAUCCUGAAAUAGAAAAAUAUUUCAAGGGUCUAGUUGUUCGCUAGUUAAAAAGGUACGUGAGUUGGGUUCAGAACGUCGUGAGACAGUUCGGUCCCUAUCUAUUGUAAGAAUGAAAAAAGAGUAAAACAAUUUUUAGUACGAGAGGACCAAAAUUAAUUAACCACUAAUACAUUGAUUAUUUUAAAUAUAAAUAUUGUCAAAAUGUUACGUUAAAAAAUUAAAUACUGAAUGCAUAAAAGUAUAAAAUUUUUUACUUUAUUUUUUCAAAAAUUUCUAAACGAAAAUUGAAGAUUGAUCGGUUUAAAAGCUUCUUAGUAAUAACUUUUUUUUAAAUACGAAU
rnacentral:rRNA from 1 species